rnacentral:lncRNA from 10 species
CAAGCAUCAAGCCAAGGAGGCAGUGGGCUUCUAGGAAAAUACAGCUUUACUGCUUUCUGGUGGGUUGGCAAGAUUCUGGCCUGGAAGAAUUGCUGUGGACAUUUUCUGAAAAUACAGUCUGCUCUCUGGCCACACAAUUCAAACCUUUUCACUGGUGCCCAAAGGAGAGAGAGAAUAAACUUGAACAUUCUGACUUUGAAGGACAUGACCAGGCUAGCCCAGGAGAAAGAUGGAGCACAUAUGGAGCAGAGCUGCCCCAGCCAACCUGCUCUUGAGACCCCAGCUUAGAGCAUCCAACUCCCAGCUAACACCCAGAAGCAUGAGUGACUCCAUUUAAGGUCAAUAAAACCAUCUAGCCGAGUC